GCUGGCCUGCUUCCGCCGCGAGCUCUGCCCGGGUGCCCCUGCUAGUAAGAGCUCCCCAGUGCCCUGGGGACUGUCCCCGAGCGCCGGGGCCCAAGCGGACCGGCGCCGGCACCGCAUCGCGAAUCGGGUGCACGGAUUCACCUCGCAGGUGUUUUCGCGCACCUGGCAGCCAUAUAAAACAUCACAGUAGCUGGGGCACCUGGCUGGCUGGAUUGGAAAAGCGUGGGACGCUUGACCUCAGGGUCGUGAGUUCGAGCCCCACGUGGGCGUGGAGCCUACUUUAAAAACAUAAA